AGUGGGGAAUAUUGCACAAUGGAGGAAACUCUGAUGCAGCAACGCCGCGUGGAGGAUGACACAUUUCGGUGCGUAAACUCCUUUUAUAUAAGAAGAUAAUGACGGUAUUAUAUGAAUAAGCACCGGCUAACUCCGUGCCAGCAGCCGCGGUAAUACGGGGGGUGCAAGCGUUACUCGGAAUCACUGGGCGUAAAGAGCAUGUAGGCUGGUAGUUAAGUUGGAAGUGAAAUCCUAUGGCUCAACCAUAGAACUGCUUCCAAAACUGACUGCCUAGAGUAUGGGAGAGGUAGAUGGAAUUUCUGGUGUAGGGGUAAAAUCCGUAGAGAUCAGAAGGAAUACCGAUUGCGAAGGCGAUCUACUGGAACAUUACUGACGCUGAGAUGCGAAAGCGUGGGGAGCAAACAGGAUUAGAUACCCUGGUAGUCCACGCCCUAAACGAUGCACACUAGUUGUUGCAAGGCUUGACCUUGCAGUAAUGCAGUUAACACAGUAAGUGUGCCGCCUGGGGAGUACGGUCGCAAGAUUAAAACUCAAAGGAAUAGACGGGGACCCGCACAAGCGGUGGAGCAUGUGGUUUAAUUCGACGAUACGCGAAGAACCUUACCUGGCCUUGACAUAGUAAGAAUCUUUUAGAGAUAGAAGAGUGCUAGUUUACUAGAACUUACAUACAGGUGCUGCACGGCUGUCGUCAGCUCGUGUCGUGAGAUGUUGGGUUAAGUCCCGCAACGAGCGCAACCCUCGUGUUUAGUUACUAACAGUUCGGCUGAGGACUCUAGACAGACUGCCUGGGCAACCAGGAGGAAGGUGAGGACGACGUCAAGUCAUCAUGGCCCUUACGGCCAGGGCUACACACGUGCUACAAUGGGGUAUACAAAGAGCCGCGAUACCGUGAGGUGGAGCAAAUCUCAUAAAAUAUCUCCCAGUUCGGAUUGAAGUCUGCAACUCGACUUCAUGAAGUUGGAAUCGCUAGUAAUCGUAGAUCAGCAAUGCUACGGUGAAUACGU
rnacentral:rRNA from 1 species